rnacentral:rRNA from 1 species
AGAGUUUGAUCCUGGCUCAGGAUGAACGCUGGCGGCGUGCUUAACACAUGCAAGUCGAACGGUGAAGCAGAGCUUGCUCUGUGGAUCAGUGGCGAACGGGUGAGUAACACGUGAGCAACCUGCCCCUGACUCUGGGAUAAGCGCUGGAAACGGCGUCUAAUACCGGAUAUGAGCUGCGAUCGCAUGGUCAGCAGUUGGAAAGAUUUUUCGGUCUGGGAUGGGCUCACGGCCUAUCAGCUUGUUGGUGAGGUAAUGGCUCACCAAGGCGUCGACGGGUAGCCGGCCUGAGAGGGUGACCGGCCACACUGGGACUGAGACACGGCCCAGACUCCUACGGGAGGCAGCAGUGGGGAAUAUUGCACAAUGGGCGAAAGCCUGAUGCAGCAACGCCGCGUGAGGGAUGACGGCCUUCGGGUUGUAAACCUCUUUUAGCAGGGAAGAAGCGAAAGUGACG